rnacentral:rRNA from 1 species
UACGUAGGGUGCGAGCGUUGUCCGGAAUUAUUGGGCGUAAAGAGCUCGUAGGCGGUCUGUUGCGUCCGCUGUGAAAACUCGGGGCUUAACCCCGAGCCUGCAGUGGAUACGGGCAGACUAGAGGUAGGUAGGGGAGAAUGGAAUUCCCGGUGUAGCGGUGAAAUGCGCAGAUAUCAGGAAGAACACCCGUGGCGAAGGCGGCUCUCUGGAACGCAACUGACGCUGAGACGCGAAAGCGUGGGGAGCAAACAGG